AGAGUUUGAUCCUGGCUCAGAACGAACGCUGGCGGCAGGCCUAACACAUGCAAGUCGAACGAUAAGCCACCUUCGGGUGGUGGACAGUGGCAGACGGGUGAGUAACGCGUGGGAACGUGCCUUUCGGUUCGGGAUAACCCAGGGNAAACUUGGGCUAAUACCGGAUACGCCCUUCGGGGGAAAGAUUCAUUGCCGAAAGAUCGGCCCGCGUCGGAUUAGCUAGUUGGUGGGGUAAUGGCCUACCAAGGCGACGAUCCGUAGCUGGUCUGAGAGGAUGACCAGCCACACUGGGACUGAGACACGGCCCANACUCCUACGGGAGGCAGCAGUGGGGAAUAUUGGACAAUGGGCGCAAGCCUGAUCCAGCCAUGCCGCGUGGGUGAAGAAGGCCUUAGGGUUGUAAACCCCUUUCAGCGGGGAAGAUAAUGACGGUACCCGCAGAAGAAGUCCCGGCUAACUCCGUGCCAGCAGCCGCGGUAAUACGGAGGGGACUAGCGUUGUUCGGAAUUACUGGGCGUAAAGCGCACGUAGGCGGAUUUGUAAGUCAGGGGGUGAAAUCCCGGGGCUCAACCUCGGAACUGNCUUUGAUACUGCAAAUCUCGAGUCCGGAAGAGGUGAGUGGAAUUCCUAGUGUAGAGGUGAAAUUCGUAGAUAUUAGGAAGAACACCAGUGGCGAAGGCGGCUCACUGGUCCGGUACUGACGCUGANGUG
rnacentral:rRNA from 1 species